UAGCGAGUCUGCAUCGAUGCUCACUCUGGACAAUUUUUUCAGGAAGUGCAACAUCGAAAUGGAGGAGGAAACAACAUAUCGAUGUAAGUUCCACAUGCGUCCAUUAUUUCUCCCACGCCUUUUUCACACUGACAGAACAUCACAAAAAGAGUGGUGUAAAAAGAUAAAUCAAAAGAAACAAAUCUUCUUCUCUGCUGACGUUUGAUUUAAUUGUGCACCACCUGACACCUUAAAAUUUGAACGCAACUGACAGAAUUCAUUUAUUCAUUCAUUUAUUUGUUGGAUUUGAAAUGCCAGAUAAUAGGAUUGGAAAACAUGAGUGAAAAAAAAGUGGGAUGCUUUCAUCUUCUGGAAGCAGCAGCGAGCCUUGUUAGUUGCAACCUGUGCCACAGCGCUACAGCCAUGCACAGUAGGCGUCUUUGUGUUACCAUGGCAAUGACGUCUUCCGUUUUCCGGUGAGGCGACAGGGCGUCCCAUUCCUGACGAUCGCAUUUAUACCCUCCCCCUUCAAUAACAGGUGCCCUCCACAGCUGCGAGUGUGACUUCUUUUGGAGUGACACUCAGUAGUGUAGGGGGAGUGUGUAGGGGGCAGUUUGGGAUUCAGCCUAGAUGUCUCAAGACGGAGUCGGCGUCGUCGUCACUUGGCGGCCAUCUUAGGACAGGGGACUGCUCUGGCGCGCUGUACUGUAGUCAGUGUGGCAGCCUGAAGUUUAGAGAAGUGGAAGGUCCUUGCUGCAAUCCUCAAACCAGCAGGAUCAAAUUGUGAAGAUUACAAUGCACGUUGCUCACAGCCUAUCUCCUGGCCCUUGGAGGCAGCUUGGUGUGAAUGAUGUUCAGGGCCUAACACUGCAAAGAUGCUCCAGCAACUGUGGCGUGUUUGUUUUGAUGGAAAACAUGCUGCAAAUUCGAAGAUGGUGGUUUUGUUCUCCUGCAGAACUUCUCCAUGCCAUCUGAAGAAGAGAGAUUGCAGCAAAGAAAAAGGCAACGAGAGCAGAAAAAACUACAGAUGAGGCUGAGAACCUGCCAGGACUGGGAACAGGAAACGGGGAGAAUCCUUUGGUCAGGGAUGCAAUGGCGGCAGCCCGGUGGUGUGGGACCAGAACUUUCAAGGGAAAAAUUUCCCAUCCCCAAGUUGUCACCAUGGCCAAGGAGGAAUGCGUGAGGGCAGUGGAACUCCUGUGUGUCUGUGAUGGCCAGGAAGAAGAGGAGAGCGCUGAUCUCAGAGAACCGUUCCUUUUUCUUUUUAGUCUGCAGGAAGACUAUGAGACAUUCUGUCAAGAAAUUAUUGACAGGAGAAACAUGAAGGUGUUUUGUGCUUUUGACAAAAAAGAAUAAAGUUUUGUUCAACGGUG